rnacentral:rRNA from 1 species
GACGUAGGGCGCGAGCGUUGUCCGGAUUUAUUGGGCGUAAAGAGCUCGUAGGCGGCUUGUCGCGUCAACUGUGAAAACCCGUGGCUCAACCAUGUGGUCUGCAGUCGAUACGGGCAGGCUAGAAUUCGGUAGGGGAGACUGGAAUUCCGGGUGUAGCGGUGAAAUGCGUAGAUAUCCGGAGGAACACCGGUGGCGAAGGCGGCUUCCUGGACCGAGCACUGACGCUGAGGCGCGAAAGCUAGGGGAGCAAACGGGAUUGAG